ensembl:lncRNA
AUGGGGGAAGGACCACAGAGUCCUGCUGUGUUUCAGUUACUUGUAAAAAGAAGAAAAGGAAGAAAGCAAGCUCUGCUCUCACACUCUGCAAAGCAGCAGCUGCAACAUAUAGCCAGGGCUUUCUCUUGUCAGACUUGAAUUUUUUUUAACUUUUUUUUUUUUAAUUGCCUGCACUAUGUGGCAUGUGGGAUCUGUUACCCAACCAGGAAUCGUACCCGUGUCCCCUGCGUUGAAGUGUAGAGUCUUAACCAUGAGGGAAGUCUCAUCAGACUUGAUUUUAAGUCACUAAAUACAUUGCCUCCUCAAUCUUUACAGUCACCCUGUGUGGUAAUUGCUAUUCCUUUAUUAUCUUUCCUAGGGAUAGAUCCAAGUUUGUGAGGCCCUGAAACUUAUACAAUUGGUGGGCCCUCUUUUAAAACAAAUUAGAUUACAGUUAUGUAAAUAUAAGCACAAAAUUAGGCCCAGAGCCUUGACAGGUGGCACAUGACAAGUGGCAGAAACCAACAAAAUAUUGUAAAGCAAUUAUCUUCCAAUUAAAAAUAAAUAAGUAAUUUUUUUUAAUUACUGAAAAAAAGUUAAAACCUUAAUUUAUUAGUUUUUUGACUGUGCUGUACCUUCACUGCGGUGUGCGGGUUUCCCUAGUGGUGGUGGGCGGGCUUAGCUGCCCCGAGGCAGGCGGGCUCUUACUUCCUGAGCCAUGUUUGCUGCUUGCAAAGGUAGAUUCUUAACUGCUGGGCAACCAGGGAAGUCCUCAAGGUAUUGUUUCUUUCCUUUUUGAAAGGCUUCCAUAUUUUCUGAAGUUCUAAUAAGGAGCAUGUAAGUCCUAUGAAAAGAAAUUUUGUUCUAUUGACUGCCCAAGCAGGAAAGAGUCUGACGAGCGUGUAGCCAUGCCCUGGUGUGGGUUAGAGCUGAAGCGAGGGCGGAGGGCACAGGAUCAGGCCACCUGUACCCACUUGCCCAGGAGUGGGAAUGGAGCAUCCUGACUCUGAGUUUGCGCAUCUGGACCCAGAGGCAAGAGAUGCUGACUCUGAGGACUGCUCUGGGCCAGCGAGGCAACCUCUCAGCAUGCCACUAACCUCCUGGGAAGGAGAAAAAAAGCAGACUUUGAAUGAAGAAGAUUAAUGUGCUUGGUUAGCAGCUUUGGUUGAGGCACCAGGCAGGUAAGAUGGGAAGCUGGGGCUCAAAUCCAGGUCCCGGGUCCAAAUCUCUCUGUGCAACACCCAACUGUCUCUCAGAGGAGCAGACAAACUAGGUGGGGAGGCAUCUCAGGGUGCCAGGAACUAUGAACAGGAGACCAUUGGCUGUUCUGAGCAUCAGGGCUUCAGGAGUUCAGAGAAGGAGAAUUAGUGAGGCUGGAGGGAGUCGCCAGGGAAAUUAGUGAGGAUAGUGUUCAAAGGUGAGGAAAAUCAUAUAAAGGAACCUCAGAAUUUGGCCCACCUUUUGGUUUCAGCGAGAAAACACUUCUACAUUUUUAAACUGAAAGCAUGUUUAUUCCUCAGUGCUGGCCCUUGGCUCUUGGCCUUUGGCUGAAAAACAAAAGGAGGUUGUUCAGUCCCUGGGCUGGGAUGUUUGCUCACAGAUCAUGAUGUGUGCUUAGAGCAUCUGGUCUGGGAAAGGAGGUGUGUCUCUAAGGAGCGUGAGCAUGGGACUGCCUUGCCAUUCUGCUCCAGCCCCGCCUGCAUUCACAGAUGCUGGAGGGCAGAAGAGGAAUGGCUAGGCUAGACAAACUUCCUUUCCUUCCUCGCCAUAUCAGUGGAGUUGGGCAGUGUUGACAAACACAUAAUCAUAAACCAGCAUCUUAGAGAUAGUGAAGAUCUGAGAGAUCACCUGUCCUCACUGUGCCUCUCAUUUACCCUCCUCCUGACUCAUGCCCUUUGCUUGAAUCCCUCCAGCCACAGGGACCCACCCCUGCAACAACAGCAAUCUGUUUCCCAAUACAAACAUAGCAGCUAUCAUUGGAGAGCAUUGUUUUCUUUUUGAGCACUUUAUGGAUGCUUCAGGUUCUUCUUAUAUCCUCCCUGCCCUAGAACCAGCCAUUUCUCCAAAGCACUUUCAUCCAUUUUGUUGGAGAAUGGUAUUAGAGACAAAGGUCUGAGCACUAAGGUGCUCAUUGCUACUGGGGUGUCACUGUUUCUAGGCCCUCUCAGCAGACAGAGCUAAGAAAUAAACAGUAUAACUCUUUGGAGAAGGAAAUGGCAACCCACUCUACUAUUCUUGCCUGGAAAAUCCCAUGGACAGAAGAGCCUGGCUGGCUACAUUCGAUGGGGUCGCGGAAGAGUCAGACAUGACUUAGCAACUAAAUCACAACAACAUUACAACUCUUGUAUACACACAUAUCUAUAAUUAUUUCUGCACUAUUCCUCCGUAUCUAGGUUAAGUUGAACUUGAAGUCAUGCUAGUAUCUCUGAUUAAUCUAGUACUGUGUGGAUUAUUCCAACCUCCUUCCUUGUUUAUCUACAACUUCUUUCUCCAACAGUGAGAAAUCUGAGUCCUACCAUCAACCAUCCAUUUACUCACUUGUUUAAGCCCCAGUAUACAUGCACACAGGGGGCUUCCCAGGUGGCUUCGUGGUAAAGAAUCCGCCUGCCAAUGCAGAAGAUGCUGGUUUGAUCCCUGGGUCUGGAGGAUCCCCUGGAGGAGGAAAUGGCAACCCACUCCAGUAUUCUUGCCUGGGAAAUCCCAUGAACAGAGGCACUGACAGGCUACAGUCCUUGGGUCGCAAAGAGCUGGACAUGACUGAACAACUGAGGACAUAUAUGCACAUGUUAGCCUGAAACUCCAUGAAAAACAACUUUACUGCCUUUCCUGACUAGCUUUUGGGGAUUAUGCAGAAUUCUGUUUGUCCUUAGCCUUAUAGUUUCCAGUCAAAACACUGGUUUCCUAAGCUACUUAUGUCAGCUCCUCUCCACUCCCCUUCCUGCCUCCCCCACCAACUACUAGCACUGACGUCUGUCAUACAUUUGCAAUCAAGUUAGACUCUUCUGUCACAGUCUGGGGUCCUGCAGCCAUCCUGGCUGGUUUUUAAGUAUUUGUCAUCCUGGCUGAUUUUUCAGUAUUUGUCUAUGUUCAUAAAGUUCACUCUUUGUGUUGUGAAGUCUGUGGAUUUGGCUAAAUUGGGUAUCAUCAUGUCUCUAGCACUCCAGUGUUAUACAGAAUAUUCCAUCACCCAAAAAUUCCCCCAAGGUUGCCCUUUGCGGUUAACCACUCCUGCUCCCCCAAACCCCUGGCAACCACUCAUCCAUUCUUCAUCCCUAUAGUUUUACUUUUCCCAGAAUGUUAUGUGAAUGAAAUCAUAAAACAUGUAGUUUUUUGGGUCUUUUUUCUCUAUUUUAGCAAAAUGCUUUUAAGAUUCAUCCAUGUUGCCAUAUGAAUCACUAUCUCAGUAAUUUUUUCACAGAUAAGUAUGCCGUCAUAUGGUUACAUUACAAUUUGCCAGUUCAUUGAUUAAAAGACAUCUUCGCUGCUUUCAGUUUUUAAAAAUUUUUAUUUAUUCAUUUUGUCUGUGUUGGGUCUUCAUUGCUGUGCCUGGGCUUUCUCUAGCUGCAGGAAAGGGCUACUCUUCAUUGUGGUGCAUGAGCUUCUUAUUGAGAUGGUUUCUCUAGUUGCAGAGCACGGGCUCUAGGGCAUGUGGGCUUCAGAAGCUGUGGUUAGUUGCCCUGGGGCAUGUGAAAUCUUCCUGGACCAGGGAUCGAACCCAUGACCCCUGCAGUAACAGGUGGAUUUUUAACCACUGGACCACCAGGGAAGUCCUCCAGUUUUUGAUGACUAUGAAUGAGGCUGCUGUAAACAUCUGUAUUUCCAUGUUAACAUAUGUUUUAAUUCACUUGGAUACACAUCUAGAGUGUAACUGCCUGUGUGUCAUAAGUCUAUGUUAAAUUUUAUAAGAAACCACCAAACUGUCUUCCAAAAUGUCUGUACCAUCUUCCAUCCUCAUGGGCAGAUGAGGGUUUCUAUUGCUCUGCAUUGCUGUCAAUAAGUAUUUGGGGUGAUCAAGUUUGUUUUGGUCUUUUUUUUUUUUUUUUAUUUUGGCUAUUCUAUAGGUCUGCAGCGAUAUUAAAUAGUUGUUUGCAUUUUUAUUUUCUUAGUGAAAACUUACUUUGAGCAUCUCUUCCCAUGCUUAUUUGCCAUCCACUUAUCAUCUUUGUUGGUCUUCCCUGAUAGUUCAGUUGGUAAAGAAUCUGCCUGCAAUGCAGGAGAUCCCAGUUCGAUUCCUGAGUCAGGAAGAUCCACGGGAGAAGGAAUAGGCUAUCCACUCCAGUAUUCUUGGGCUUCCCUUGUGGCUCAGAUUCGGGUAAAGAACCUGCCUGAGGCCUGGGUUUGAUCCCUGGGUUGGGAAGAUCACCUGGAGAAGGGAAAGGCUACCCAUUCCAGUAUUCUGGCCUAGAGAAUUCCAUGGACUGUAUAGGCCAUGGGGUCACAAAGAGUCGGACACGACUGAGAGACUUUCACUAUCUUUGUGAGUUUAGAUCUUUUGCCUAUUUAACAAACUGGAUUGUAUAUUUUCUUAUUUUUGAGUUUUAAGAGUUCUUUAUUCUGGAUACAUGUUCUUUAUAAGAUAUGUGAUUUGCAGACGUUUUCUUAGUGUGUGGCUUGUCUUAAUUUCUCUUAACAAUGUUAUUGCAGAGCAAACAGUUUUCCUUCAUGAAGUCCAGUUUGUCGAUUUUUCUCUCGAGGAUCCUGCUUUUAGUACAGCAUUUCAAGUUCAUUACCCAAACAGAAGUUAUACAGAAUUUCUUCUAGAAGUUCUAUAGAUUUCUGGUAUAGAGUUAUUUCUAUGAUCCUUUUUGAGUUAAGUUUUAUAUAAGAUUAAAGUUAAAUUUUUUUUUUUUUUUUUGGUAUGCAGUCAUCUGAUUCUUCCAGUACCCUUAGUCGAAAAACCUAUCCUUUGCCAGGUAUCGUCCUGGCACCUUCAAAAUUCAGUUUAUCAAAUUGGUGUAUAUAUUGGGGUUAAUUUCUGAGCUUUCUGCUCUGUCCCUUUCUCAGAGCUUUUGCUUCUUCAGAUCCUUGUAAGGCUGGCUUCUUAUUCAGGAUCCGUGUGAAAGUCACCUUUUUAAAGAGGUUUUUCUGGGUCACCCGAUCUAAACUUGUCCUCCUUUAUUCAAAUCAUGUCAUAUUGUUGUGCUGUCUCUGUAGUACUAAGACCUGAAACUGCCUAGUACUGGGUAAGAAAGUGUUCAGGCCAAGGAGAUACCAUCCCACUGAACUCCAAAAGGGGCAGAUCAUAAAAGAAAAUCCCCUUCCUCUCUAGCCCUCUCUCACUUGUUAAAUCCUCUGUCAGCUCCAGAUCCCAAGACCCAGGUCUUCUGUCUCUCUCCUCAGUGAGUGGAGCCAGUGGUUCCCAUUCUCACUGUGCAUUAGCUUUAACUGGGGGAACUUUAAGAAUACUUAUUCCCAGGCUCCACCCCAGGGAUUCUAAUUAUGUGGAAAUGCGGCCUGGUCACCUGUAUUUUUUUAAAGCUUCCAAGUUGAUGGCAGUGUGCAGCUACCAUUUCUAGCUUGAAUGCUGACCACAGUUGGUACUCAAUAAA